GCGAACGCUGGCGGCAUGCCUAACACAUGCAAGUCGAGCGCCCCUCGCAAGGGGGGAGCGGCGGACGGGUGAGUAACGCGUAGGAACGUAUCCUGAGGUGGGGGAUAACCCUGGGAAACUAGGGCUAAUACCGCAUGAUGGCGAGAGCCCAAAGAUUUAUCGCCUUGGGAGCGGCCUGCGUCCGAUUAGCUAGUUGGUGGGGUAACGGCCCACCAAGGCUCUGAUCGGUAGCUGGUCUGAGAGGAUGAUCAGCCACACUGGGACUGAGACACGGCCCAGACUCCUACGGGAGGCAGCAGUGGGGAAUAUUGGACAAUGGGCGAAAGCCUGAUCCAGCAAUGCCGCGUGGAUGAAGAAGGUCUUCGGAUUGUAAAGUCCUUUCGGCGGGGACGAUGAUGACGGUACCCGCAGAAGAAGCCCCGGCUAACUUCGU
rnacentral:rRNA from 1 species